GAGUUUGAUCUUGGCUCAGAGUGAACGCUGGCGGCAGGCCUAACACAUGCAAGUCGAGCGGCAGCGCGGGGGCAACCCUGGCGGCGAGCGGCGGACGGGUGAGGAAUGCAUCGGAAUCUACCUCGUUGUGGGGGAUAACCUCAGGAAACCGGGACUAAUACCGCAUACGACCUACGGGUGAAAGUGGGGGACCGCAAGGCCUCGCGCGAUGAGAUGAGCCGAUGCCGGAUUAGCUAGUUGGCGGGGUAAAGGCCCACCAAGGCGACGAUCCGUAGCUGGUCUGAGAGGAUGAUCAGCCACACUGGAACUGAGACACGGUCCAGACUCCUACGGGAGGCAGCAGUGGGGAAUAUUGGACAAUGGGCGCAAGCCUGAUCCAGCCAUGCCGCGUGUGUGAAGAAGGCC
rnacentral:rRNA from 1 species